AUAUUGCACAAUGGGGGAAACCCUGAUGCAGCGACGCCGCGUGAAGGAAGAAGUAUUUCGGUAUGUAAACUUCUAUCAGCAGGGAAGAAGAAAGUGACGGUACCUGACUAAGAAGCCCCGGCUAACUACGUGCCAGCAGCCGCGGUAAUACGUAGGGGGCAAGCGUUAUCCGGAUUUACUGGGUGUAAAGGGAGCGUAGACGGCUGUGCAAGUCUGGAGUGAAAGCCCGGGGCUCAACCCCGGGACUGCUUUGGAAACUGUACGGCUGGAGUGCUGGAGAGGCAAGCGGAAUUCCUAGUGUAGCGGUGAAAUGCGUAGAUAUUAGGAGGAACACCAGUGGCGAAGGCGGCUUGCUGGACAGUAACUGACGUUGAGGCUCGAAAGCGUGGGGAGCAAACA
rnacentral:rRNA from 1 species